CCGCAACGGAUAAAGCUACCUUAGCAGGUUGCUGUGGAACCAUUGGGACAAUUUGUCGAACAGGUGGUGGAGGAACAGCAGUGCAGCCGAGAGUCGUUGCAGCAGCACAUGGUCCACGUCGGCUAUCUUCCUCAAUAAUAAACUGCUCAGUAUUCUCAUCUUCAACAUCCCAGGAAUCACUGUUGGACCUUGCGACAAAAGACUGAACAAAUCCGAUCCCGAAAAAGCCCAACAGAUAUAUAACAGAAGCGAUCAACGAAACCAUAGCGACCAAUUCAGAAAAGGUGACCAUAUGGAGAGGCGUCGAAUUACGGAUCUUCUCACGCCACCUGACGAGAAGGAAAUACAUGACAGAGAAAAACAUGGUGAAAAAUAAACCAUUGGUUAGAUACAAUGGGAGUGGAAGGGCAUCAGAUGCUUUAGGAGAGGAAACUUGUUGGGUUUGUUUGUGGGGUUUGAGAAGUUCGCCGGCGGAAACGUCAUCUUUGGAAGAGUAAAAAGGCUUGACAGGUCGCCGGCGAACGUCCAUUGUUGAUUUUUCUAGAGGUUCGCCGGCGGAAACGUCAUCUUUGGAAGAGUAAAAAGGCUUGACAGGUCGCCGGCGAACGUCCAUUAUUGAUUUUUCCGGUAGGAACACCGGCGAAGAAGGAGAUAACGUGAGAAAAUGAGGAAUGAGAGAAAAGGAAAGAAGUAUUAAGCAGUGAUGGUAUGUAUGUGUGGAGAAGCGAAAGUUGAGGAAAUGUAUUUAUAGAGAAAAAGCAGUUAGCGCGCUAUUCUUUGGGGCCACGCACUCCGCGUGCUGUUCGCCCAUCUAGUAAGUGUUUUUUCUAUUUCU
rnacentral:lncRNA from 1 species